rnacentral:rRNA from 1 species
AGCUCCAAUAGCGUAUAUUAAAGUUGCUGCGGUUAAAAAGCUCGUAGUUGGAUUUCGGGACAGGUCAAUCAGUCUACCAAUUUGGUUAGCACAUGGUUGGCUUGGCCAUUCUCUUGGAGAACACUUCUGCGCUUCGUUGUGUGGGGUGGUAUCCAAGACUUUUACUUUGAGGAAAUUAGAGUGUUUCAAACAGGCGCACGCCUUAAAUACGCUAGCAUGGAAUAACAAGAUGGAACCUUGGCUUUAUUUUGUUGGUUUUUAGAGCUAAGGUAAUGAUUAAUAGGGAUAGUCGGGGGCAUUCGUAUUCAACAGUCAGAGGUGAAAUUCUUGGAUUUGUUGAAGUCGGACUACUGCGAAAGCAUUUGCCAAGGAUAUUUUCAUUGAUCAAGAACGAAAGUAG